UAACGGCGAGUGAAGCGGCAACAGCUCAAAUUUGAAAUCUGGCCUCGGCCCGAGUUGUAAUUUGCAGAGGAUGCUUCUGGCGCGGUGCCUUCCGAGUUCCCUGGAACGGGACGCCACAGAGGGUGAGAGCCCCGUAUGGUCGGACACCAAGCCUGUGUGAAGCUCCUUCGACGAGUCGAGUAGUUUGGGAAUGCUGCUCUAAAUGGGAGGUAAAUCUCUUCUAAAGCUAAAUACCGGCCAGGAGACCGAUAAGCGCACAAGUAGAGUGAUCGAAAGAUGAAAAGCACCUUGAAAAGGGGGUUAAAUAGUACGUGAAAUUGUUGAAAGGGAAGCACUUGUGACCAGACUUGGGCCGGGCGGCUCAUCAGGGGUUCUCCCCUGUGCACUCCGCCCGGCACAGGCCAGCAUCGGUUCUCGUGGGGGGAUAAGACCGUCAGGAACGUAGCACCCUCCGGGGUGUGUUAUAGCCUGGCGGACGAUACCCCCGUGGGGACCGAGGUUCGCGCUCCGCAAGGAUGCUGGCGUAAUGGUCACCAGUGACCCGUCUUGAAACACGGACCAAGGAGUCGUCCAUUAGAGCGAGCGUUUGGGUGUAAAACCCGCACGCGUAAUGAAAGUGAACGCAGGUGAGAGCUUCGGCGCAUCAUCGACCGAUCCUGAUGUUCUCGGAAGGAUUUGAGUAAGAGUUUUAACGGACGGACCCGAAAGACAGUGAACUAUGCUUGUAUAGGGUGAAGCCAGAGGAAACUCUGGUGGAGGCUCGCAGCGGGUUCUGACGUGCAAAUCGAUCGUCAAAUAUGAGCAUGGGGGCGAAAGACUAAUCGAACUGUCUAGUAGCUGGUUACCGCCGAAGUUUCCCUCAGGAUAGCAGUGUUGAUCUUCAGUUUUAUGAGGUAAAGCGAAUGAUUAGGGACUCCGGGGGCGCUAUAUAGCCUUCAUCCAUUCUCAAACUUUAAAUAUGUAAGAAGCCCUUGUUACUUAGUUGAACGUGGGCAUUCGAAUGUACCAACACUAGUGGGCCAUUUUUGGUAAGCAGAACUGGCGAUGCGGGAUGAACCGAACGCGGGGUUAAGGCGCCAGAGUGUACGCUCAUCAGACACCACAAAAGGCGUUAGUACAUCUUGACAGCAGGACGGUGGCCAUGGAAGUCGGAA
rnacentral:rRNA from 1 species